UGAGGCUCCUAUUAUGCUGGUUUAAAGCUGUGAGAUAACUGUUCCAGCAAAGUGUUCAAUCGGUUUGAAGUAGAAGUAACGGAAAGUGGAUUCCGAAGACCAAUCGGCAGCUCGUAAAAUAUCCUCUGGUCGACAUCCUACCGCGGAGGCUUUUGAGGCCAUGGCUCCACGAACAGAAUGUGGAGAGACACUCCCAAUGUCAUAAUCCAUUUGACCCAUCUGGCUAGAGAGGGGGAUGAUAUUGGAAGGUGUGGUUUGCGGACAGAGAUAAAUAAUUGAGGUCUCAUGGGAUUGCGGAGCGGAGCUGUACAGAUUUCGAAUUCCCGUAAGCAUGCCACUGGACACAAGAGAGGUUUAUGUGGAAAGGCUGGGUAUAGUACGGACUUAGAAGACGUUUUGGUCCUUCUAGAGAUAUCAAAGAGAAAGCCUUCUGGUGUAAAGGAUCGAGCGUCUGUAUCUAAAGCUCGUACAUCCGGGGCUCUUUUGCAUAAGAUAAGGCAGAAAAGCAUGACUAAUUUUGCUGACAGUUGUUUGAGUGAUAUUGAAGAGUUGUCCGGCCAUGACAUUCGAAAGCGAAGGACAAGGGAAACAUCCCAGAGUGAAGAGUAAUGAGGGUGUGGUGGACAAGAAAAUCGUACUCCACGUAGUAAGCGGCAGGCAAAG